GCCCAAGUGGCGAAAUGGUAGACGCGCUAGGUUCAGAUCCUAGUAAAGGUUACUUUAGUGGAAGUUCGAGUCUUCUCUUGGGCAC
rnacentral:tRNA from 1 species